UCCUUUCUGUGGUUCCUAAAUGUGACAGUUGGGUUUUCAUGUCAUUGUGGGAGGUGUGCUGCCCUCAAACCUUGUAACUACAUUGGUAUAAUGCCUGUCUUAUG